CUAAUACAUGCAAGUAGAACGCUGACUACUUUAGCUUGCUAGAGUAGAAGGAGUUGCGAACGGGUGAGUAACGCGUAGGUAACCUGCCUACUAGCGGGGGAUAACUAUUGGAAACGAUAGCUAAUACCGCAUAACAGUGUUUAACACAUGUUAGAUGCUUGAAAGAUGCAAUUGCAUCACUAGUAGAUGGACCUGCGUUGUAUUAGCUAGUUGGUGGGGUAACGGCCCACCAAGGCGACGAUACAUAGCCGACCUGAGAGGGUGAUCGGCCACACUGGGACUGAGACACGGCCCAGACUCCUACGGGAGGCAGCAGUAGGGAAUCUUCGGCAAUGGGGGCAACCCUGACCGAGCAACGCCGCGUGAGUGAAGAAGGUUUUCGGAUCGUAAAGCUCUGUUGUAAGAGAAGAACGUGUGUGAGAGUGGAAAGUUCACACAGUGACGGUAACUUACCAGAAAGGGACGGCUAACUACGUGCCAGCAGCCGCGGUAAUACGUAGGUCCCGAGCGUUGUCCGGAUUUAUUGGGCGUAAAGCGAGCGCAGGCGGUUUAAUAAGUCUGAAGUUAAAGGCAGUGGCUUAACCAUUGUUCGCUUUGGAAACUGUUAAACUUGAGUGCAGAAGGGGAGAGUGGAAUUCCAUGUGUAGCGGUGAAAUGCGUAGAUAUAUGGAGGAACACCGGUGGCGAAAGCGGCUCUCUGGUCUGU
rnacentral:rRNA from 1 species